rnacentral:rRNA from 1 species
UACGAAGGGUGCAAGCGUUAAUCGGAAUUACUGGGCGUAAAGCGUGCGUAGGCGGUUGGCUAAGUCAGAUGUGAAGGCCCUGGGCUCAACCUGGGAAUGGCAUUUGAAACUGGCGAGCUAGAGUGUGAUAGAGGAUGGCGGAAUUCCCGGUGUAGCGGUGAAAUGCGUAGAGAUCGGGAGGAACAUCCGUGGCGAAGGCGGCCAUCUGGAUCAACACUGACGCUGAGGCACGAAAGCGUGGGGAGCAAACAGG